AUCUGUAGCUCAGUGGAUAGAGCAGUGGCUUCCGAAGCCAUGUGUCAGGGGUUCGAGUCCCUCCAGGUGC
rnacentral:tRNA from 1 species